ACAAAAUAACAAUGAUCACAAAUAAGAGUGAAUGUAGAUAGAGA
rnacentral:misc_RNA from 1 species